rnacentral:rRNA from 1 species
CCUACGGGCGGCUGCAGUGGGGAAUAUUGGACAAUGGGCGCAAGCCUGAUCCAGCCAUGCCGCGUGUGUGAAGAAGGCCUUCGGGUUGUAAAGCACUUUCAGUGGGGAGAAAGGCCUUUUGCCUAAUACGCAAGAGGAUUGAUGUUACCCACAGAAGAAGCACCGGCUAACUCCGUGCCAGCAGCCGCGGUAAUACGGAGGGUGCAAGCGUUAAUCGGAAUUACUGGGCGUAAAGCGCACGUAGGUGGUUUGUUAAGCUAGCUGUGAAAUCCCCG